rnacentral:rRNA from 1 species
GACGAACGCUGGCGGCGGGCUUAACACAUGCAAGUCGAACGGAAAGGCCCUGCUUUUGUGGGGUGCUCGAGUGGCGAACGGGUGAGUAACACGUGAGUAACCUGCCCUUGACUUUGGGAUAACUUCAGGAAACUGGGGCUAAUACCGUAUAGGAGCUCCUGCUGCAGGGUGGGGGUUGGAAAGUUUCGGCGGUUGGGGAUGGACUCGCGGCUGAUCAGCUUGUUGGUGGGGUAGUGGCUUACCAAGGCUUUGACGGGUAGCCGGCCUGAGAGGGUGACCGGCCACAUUGGGACUGAGAUACGGACCAGACUCCUACGGGAGGCAGCAGUGGGGAAUAUUGCACAAUGGGCGGAAGCCUGAUGCAGCAACGCCGCGUGCGGGAUGACGGCCUUCGGGUUGUAAACCGCUUUCGCCUGUGACGAAGCGUGAGUGACGGUAAUGGGUAAAGAAGCACCGGCUAACUACGUG